GCCUCAGGUCAAACAUUCAUUUAUCACCAAUGUACUGUUUGACAAAAACUUCCUGCUCCGAUGUCCAGAUCUGAAUUUUAAAAAAUUACAAACAGGCUCCGAAAUGCCGAACUGAAUCAACGGAGUCGCGAACACGCUCCGGAAGUGGCGAACUGAAUCAAAGGAGUCGCGAACACACUCCGGAAGUGCCGAACUGAAUCAACCGAGUCGCGAACACGCUGUGCCGGACUGAAUCAACGGAGUCGCGAAAACGGUCCGAAGUGCCGAACUGAAUCAACCGAGUCGCGAACCUGCUCCGAAGCGCCGAUAUGAAUCAACCGAGUCGUGAACAGGCUCCGAAGUGCCGAACUGAAUCAACCGAGCCGCGAAAACGCUCCGAAGCGCCGAUCUGAAUCAACCGAGUCGCGAACAGGCUCCGAAGUGCCGAACUGAAUCAACCGAGUCGCGAACAGGCUCCGAAGCGCCGAUCUGAAUCAACCGAGUCGCGAACAGGCUCCGAAGCGCCGAUCUGAAUCAUCCGAGUCGCGAACAGGCUCCGAAGUGCUGAAGUGAAUCAGAGUCGCGAACAGGCUCUGAAGUGCCGAUCUGAAUCAAAACAAUCAACAAUACAUCCUAAAAGAGUUCUAUUUUUUUUAGAAAGAAAAAAUAAAUUUUACUGACCACAAACUUUUGAACUCUAGUGUUUAUUGUUAGAAAAAGCUUAUAUUUUAAAUAAAUGCUCUUCUUUUUAACUUUUCAUUCAUCAAAGAAUGCUGAAAGAAUUAUCACAGUUCAGCAGCAAAACUCUGAUAACAAAUCAUCAUAUUAGAAUGAUUUCUGAAGAUCAUGUGACACUGAAGACUGGAGGAAUGAUGCUGAAAAUCACAGUAAUAAAAUAGAUUUUAAUGUAUAUUAAAAUAGAAAAAUGUUGUUUUACUCUAUAAUAAUAUUUAACUUUUCCCCCUGUAUUUUUGAUCAAAUAAAUGCAGUUUUGAUGAGUAUACUCCUGUAAAAAAAAAAAAAAAAAACAUGAAAAAAUCAUUCUGAUCCCAAACUCUGUGUGUGUGUGUGCGUGUGUGUGUUUUUGUGCAUAGCACUUACACAGUAAUCCCCACAAUAAUAAAGAUGUUAAAUACUCAUCUGAGGAGGAAAUAAUGUUGCAUCAUAAUGAAAAGAUGUGUAACAUACACUUUUCUGUAAACUGAGCCAAAAAAAAUUUCACUGAUUUAGGGUAGAGUAAGAAUAUUUACUGUAUUGCGCAAGUUAGUUCAUACUUUUAUAUCAUUUUAUAUGCAAUAUUAACUUUUCUUUUCAUCAUCAUCUUUAAGAGUUCAUGAUUAUUUCUGUUCAACUUUAUUUCUCAGUUGAUAAAUCCAUCUACAAUUCAUAAAACACAACACAUGCAACUGAGGUACAAGAAGUAUUGACAUCCAAAUGUCAUUGAAAUCAUUUAAAAAUCAAAUCGACAGGUUAAAAAAAGGCCUCAGGUCCAAAUAUUCAUUUAUCACCAAAGAACUGUUUGACAAAAACUUCCAGCUCUG